rnacentral:rRNA from 1 species
UACGUAGGGGGCAAGCGUUUAUCCGGAAUCAUUGGGCGUAAAGCGCGUGUAGGCGGUUCCGUAAGUCCGCUCUGAAAGCCCAGGGCUCAACCCUGGGAGGCGGGUGGAUACUACGGAACUGGAGUACGGAAGAGGAGAUUGGAAUUCCUGGUGUAGCGGUGAAAUGCGCAGAUAUCAGGAGGAACACCAACAGCGAAGGCAGAUCUCUGGGACGUUACUGACGCUGAGACGCGAAAGCGUGGGGGAGCAAACAGG